UCCAUGUCAUCAUCAUUUUUUACCGUCUCCUCAUGGACCAUGAGUUCAUCAUGUGAAAUCAUCUCUUGCUGUCGAAGUUCACUUUCCUGUAACACUUCGUCUGGUGCAAGAAUUUCCUGGUGCGCCAUAGUCCGAUCUUGAAGCACCGCCUCUUGCCGUUCUCCCGACACUCCGGACUGGUCAGAUACUGCACCCAUCCCUACCAUAGCCCUGGAUGACUGCAUCUGGUCUAUGCCACCACAUUUAAGAAAUAAUCCUCCCAGCUUGUCUUCAAUGUUCAUUCUUAAGUGCAAUAACCGGCCGCGGAGCUGCGAGGAGAAGGCGGGCCGGGACGCGGCGGCGGCGCGGGGCGGCUCAGAGCAGCCGUGCCGCGGCCCCGGGCAUGGCGGGGCGCGGGGGAGGGGAGGCGGCGGCGGCGGCGGCGGCGGCAGGGGGGGGAGGGGAGGCCGAGAGGAAGUUGGCGGCGGCGGCUUCUUCCUGCUCCGGCGGCGCCGGCCCUCAGCCUCCUGCUGGCGGUGACAGCGACAGCGCGGCCAGAGCGCCGCCGCGCCGCGGUGCACCAUGGGAAGGCGCCCGGAGGACCGGCGGGGCGAGGAGCGGAGCCGCGCUGAGCGGAGCGCCCGCAGGGUUACGCGCGGGUCAGCGGGCGGGAGCGCGUCCCCGAGCCGGGCGCGGUCAGCGGGGGUGGGCUGCGCGCUGCGCUCCUUCUCUUCGCUUCCAUCCUUGGUUUCCGUCCCGCUCGAGGUGCGUGGAGCAGAGUUGUCAGUGCCUCGGUGCCGGCGGAGAUGGUACGGCGAUGCUGGAGGGAACUACGCCGCGGUUCCCCUUCUCCCCGUGGGACGCGGCCAGCAGUGUGCGUGAAGGGGCUGCGGCCAGAAGUCCCGACCCUCCGUGAUCGCCACAACCCCACAUGAUCUGGGGAACGACCGGAGGCCGCAUCUCCCUCACGUGCAGCCGUUCCUCAGAACAGCUCCGCACCCAAAGCGGUUGCACCCGCACGGCUCUGUGUGGCGGCUCCUCAGCUUCAACAGCGGAGGGCUUCGCCGUGGCUGUACUCGGCCGUGGGGGGGCUGCGCCUCGAGUGCUGUGUUCGGUGUUGGGCCCCUCGCUGCGAGAAAGACAGUGGGGCCAUGGAUCACGUCCAGAGAAGGGCAGUGGAGCUGUGAAGGAGCUGGAGAACAUCUCAUGGGGAGCAGCUGAGGGAUCUGGGAUUGUUCAGUCUGGAGCUCAGGGGAGACCUCAGCACUCUCUGCAGCUCCCUGAAGGGAGGCUGUGUUGGGUGUUGGCCUCUUCUCCCACGUAACAGCAGUAGGCAUUAAGAUGUGCUGGGGAAGUUCAGGUUGGAUGUUAGGAAACAUUUCUUCUCAGAAAGAGUGGUGAUGCACUGGCACAGGCUGCCCGGGGAGGUGGUGGAGUCAUCAUCCCUGGAGGCAUUCAAGAACCAUGGAGAUGUGGCACUGAGGGACGCAAUGGGGAUGGCCUGGUGGUUUGACUGCGUGAUCAUAGAGGUCUUUUACAACCUUAACUAUCCUAUGAUUCCCCCAGCCUGCGUGCCCACUGGGACCCAGCCAGCGGUGCGUGUGAAGGGAGAGCAGCCACGGGGUGCCUUGAUGUCCAGCCAGAAAUCCAAAAUCAACAGACGGUCAUCUCAUUGAUCGUGGUGUUCUCCACGACUCCAAACGACAUGGGGAACUGCUGGAGGCCAAAUCUCCCUAGGUUCCUUGGAACAGCUCUGCACCUGAAGCGUCUGCACCUCCACAACUUUGUGUCGUGCGUGGUUCCUCAUGAGGCCUUCAGCUUCAUUCUCUUCUAGGGCUUACAAACACUCCUAUGUUUCUCUAAAUAAAGUCUUUAGCCCAACGCCACGCUUAAACACGUGCUUAACUAAAUUGCUUGAUGUCACUUGCUUAUAAUUAAGCAUGUGCUUAAGUGCUUUGCUGGAUCAAAGCCAAAAUCCACGUAAGCUGUAUUGGGUGAAAUUUACCAGCUUCACAAGGCUUAGCUUUGUGACUCACUCAAUCAGCAGCAGCCCAAAGCGUUUUGCCAGAGGCUCAGUUGUUCCCAGGUUGUCCUACAGGAUCGCCCUGUCCCCACCACAAGGCUCACGCCCUUUGUUGGGUCCUGUUAGGAUGAGGAUGCAUCUGCCUGGUGAGUGAGCAACGCUAAAUUACUUCAUGUAGGGCUUCUAGUUCCUUUUAACGUGCCUUAAUAAGAUUCUACAGCCCCAUGCAGGUCAUAGAUGGUGCCAUUUAGUUAUGGUGUAAUAAACUGCAUUAAGAAAGAGUUGACGACAUGAAGACCCAGUUUGAAGAUCUGCCCUGACUUUAUGCAAUAAGUAUAUUUCAUAAUAAUUGCACAGACUCUGCACGAACAGAGGAAGGAGUUAAUAAAACGUGGCUACAGCUCAUGCAGUCAUUUAGUUCUACAUAAAUACAAGAAGCGUCAUUAACCUGCUUGCUGAAUAAUCACAGAAUCACACACAGAAUUGUAAGGGGUGGAAGGGACCUUUGGAGAUCACCUUGUCUGACCCUCUACUAAUGCCUUGGGUUAGAAGGGAUCUCAAGGACCAUCAAGCUCCAACCCCCUGCCACAGGCAGAGCCACCAACCUCCAUAUCUAAUACUAGACCAGGCUGCCCAGGGCCCCAUCCAACCUGGCCUUGAACACCUGCAGGGACGGGGCAUCCACAACCUCUCUGGGCAGCCUGUUCCAGCACCUCACCACUCUCUUGGUAAAGGACUUCCCCCUGAUAUCCAACCUAAAUCUUCCCUCCUUCAAUUUAAAACCAUUUCCCCUUGUCCUGCCAUUAUCUACUCUUGUAAAGAGUUGACUCCCCUCCUGUUUGUAGGCUCCCUUCAGGUACCGGAAGGCUGCAAUGAGGUCACCCCGCAGCCUUCUUUUCUCCAGGCUGAACAAGCCCAGCUCCCUCAGCAUGUCUCUGUAGAGGAGGUUCUCCAGCUCUCUGAUCAUCUUUGUGGCCCUCCUCUGGACCCUCUCCAACAGCUCCCUGUCUUGUACUGAGGGCUCCAUACCUGGACGCAGUACUCCAGAUGGGGCCUCACAAGGGCAGAAUAGAGAGGGACAAUCACCUCCCUCUCCCUGCUGGCCACCCCUCUUCUGAUGGAGCCCAGGAUACCAUUUGCUUUCCAAGCUCCAAAAGCACGCUGCUGGCUCAUGAUAAAUUCUUCAUCCACCAGGACCCUCAGGUCCUUCUCUGCAGGGCUACUUUCGAGGAUUGCUCCUCCCAGUCCGUAUGUACGCCUGGGAUUCCUCCAGGCUUUUUAAAGCUUUUAAAUUUCCAAAAAUAGAGUUUUAGAAACUGAAGGAAGCUGUACAUAGACACAGCUUGAUUUUUUUUUUUUCCCUUCAAAGACAAUUUGGUGAUUCCGUUCAUUUAUACCUGUCAAAAAAUAAAAAAUAUCUUGUGAAUUUCAUUAGGUCUGAAUCAGGAAGUUCAGCACUAAAACCUUCUUUUAAAAUGCAUGGAGCAAUUACAGCUUUCUGCAGGGUGAGCACAAGCCUUCCUCCGAGGACGCAUCAAUUAGAACCCACUUUUCAAAAACUCUGCUUAGCAAUUAACAGUAUAAUAUGAAGAAGACUGCUGUAUUUAAAGCAAAGAAGUAAGGCUCAGCAUAUUUGGUUUUUGUACAUCACCAAUCUUCUAUGACUUCAAACAAGGCAUUCUCCAGUUUUCACUUGUCAGUUUGGGCCAUGGCAGAGCUUUCUGUCAUUUUAAGAUGAUCAGCACCUGCACCACUGACAAUCAGUGCAGAAACUAAGAGGAACAGAAACCGUAAGUAGAUUUUAUAUUAGAAGAGCAGCUAUCAGGAAUCUUUGGAGAAUAUGUGUUUUAAAAGAUCUUAAACCAGGCACUGGCUUCAGAAAUAAUGGUGUAGAGCAAGGAGAAUCAUCCCAUUUGACCUUCUGAAUGACAAACUGAAGGACUUCAGUCAGGAAUUUCUGCAACUAGCUACUAACUUCCAGCAAAGCCAAAGCUGACCUGGGAUGAAGUUUCCAUGCUUGCUUUCUGCCCUUCCCUAUGUAAAACAAGGAUAAAACUCACAUGUAUUCUCCCCUUCACCAUACAGACGUGGGGACUCAGCUGACUGUCAUUGAAUCAUAGACUUGCUCAGGUUGGAGAAGACCUUCAAGAUCACUGAGUCCAACUGCAACCUGACCAUACUACCCUAACUCUAUCAACCCUCUGCUAAAUCAUGUCCCUGAGCACCACAUCCAAAUGGUUUUUAAACACAGCCAGGGAUGGUGUCUCAACCACCUCCCCUUGGGGAGCCCAUUCCAGUGCUUAAAGAAAGAGUCCCACUCUUUCAAACGAACGCACCUGGUGAAAAAAUGCAAAUAUCCCAUUUAAUUAUGUGAAGCUACUGGAUGCUAAAGCAGGAAUGAAACCAAAUGCCUUCCUCAUUUUCUCUCCCCCUCAAUCUGCUGCAGCCCUAGUUAAAUGUUAGUUUGUGCAAAUGUUACAAUGAACGAUGCUUCAGAAGGGCCUAGAUGAACACCUGAGGUUUCAACAUGAGCUGCCUUCUGGAACCAAGUGCUAGUAAAAGCUUGAGAAUCUUUCAUCCACUUUUUCAAUUCCAAUAUCUCACCAGGGAUUUAACUAGCACAAAUACUCAAUGCAGAAAAUUAAAUGAGUCCACUGUGUGAAUAUCUACUCAUUAUCUGUAAAUUGUUCCUCUUUAUUUCAACAUCCCUCACUGAAUUUGUGUUUUAAUUUUUUUUUCCUUCUGUCUUACAGCAGGCUUUCAGUUCACGGUCCUAUGGAAGCCUGACUUGAUUGGGAGAGUCUGCAGUGCCCUAUAUUGAUGGCCAGGAAUCAAUGGUAACCAGUCACACAGUGGUAUGGAGCAGGAAAACGUACAGCCACACCAAGGUCCUGCAGGUGGUGGGAAGGUCACGGUGAGCACAACCAGCGGUGAUGCCUGUCUGUGACAGAAGUGACAGCUCCAGCAGUGAGUCAGACUAUUCAUGUAG
rnacentral:lncRNA from 1 species